UACGUAGGGGGCGAGCGUUGUCCGGAGUUACUGGGCGUAAAGGGCAUGCAGGCGGUCAGACGCGUUUUGUGUGACAGCGGAGGGCUUCACUCUUCGAGCAUACGAAAGACGGUGUGACUUGAGGGCUCGAGAGGGACACGGAAUUCCGGGUGGAGUGGUGAAAUGCGUAGAGAUCCGGAGGAACACCGAAGGCGAAGGCAGUGUCCUGGCGAGUAUCCUGACGCUGAGGUGCGAAAGCCAGGGGAGCGAACGGG
rnacentral:rRNA from 1 species